rnacentral:piRNA from 1 species
UAUGCUUUGUUACAUAUUUUUCUAAAU